UCAUGGCUCAGGACGAACGCUGGCGGCGUGCCUAAUACAUGCAAGUCGAACGAAGCUUUCUUUCACCGAAUGCUUGCAUUCACCGAAAGAAGCUUAGUGGCGAACGGGUGAGUAACACGUAGGCAACCUGCCCAAAAGAGGGGGAUAACACUUGGAAACAGGUGCUAAUACCGCAUAACCAUGAACACCGCAUGAUGUUCAUGUAAAAGACGGCUUUUGCUGUCACUUUUGGAUGGGCCUGCGGCGUAUUAACUUGUUGGUGGGGUAACGGCCUACCAAGUGAUGAUACGUAGCCGAACUGAGAGGUGAUCGGCCACAUUGGGACUGAGACACGGCCCAAACUCCUACGGGAGGCAGCAGUAGGGAAUCUUCCACAAUGGACGAAAGUCUGAUGGAGCAACGCCGCGUGAAUGAAGAAGGCCUCGGGUCGUAAAAUUCGUUGUCAGAGAAGAACGUGCGUGAGAGUAACUGUUCACGUAUUGACGGUAUCUGACCAGAAAGCCACGGCUAACUACGUGCCAGCAGCCGCGGUAAUACGUAGGUGGCAAGCGUGUCCGAUUUAUUGGGCGUAAAGGAACGCAGGCGGUCUUUUAAGUCUGAUGUGAAAGCCUUCGCUUAACCGAAGUAGUGCAUUGGAAACUGGAAGACUUGAGUGCAGAAGAGGAGAGUGGAACUCCAUGUGUAGCGGUGAAAUGCGUAGAUAUAUGGAAGAACACCAGUGGCGAAAGCGGCUCUCUGGUCUGUAACUGACGCUGAGGUUCGAAAGCGUGGGUAGCAAACAGAUUAGAUACCCUGGUAGUCCACGCCUAACGAUGAGUGCUAAGUGUUGGAGGGUUUCCGCCCUUCAGUGCUGCAGCUAACGCAUUAAGCACUCCGCCUGGGGAGUACGGUCGCAAGACUGAAACUCAAAGGAAUUGACGGGGGCCCGCACAAGCGGUGGAGCAUGUGGUUUAAUUCGAAGCAACGCGAAGAACCUUACCAGGUCUUGACAUCUUCUGACAAUUCCAGAGAUGGAACGUUCCCUUCGGGGACAGAAUGACAGUGGUGCAUGGUUGUCGUCAGCUCGUGUCGUGAGAGUUGGGUUAAGCCCGCAACGAGCGCAACCCUUAUUGUCAGUUGCCAUCAUUAAGUUGGGCACUCUGGCGAGACUGCCGGUGACAAACCGGAGGAAGGUGGGGAUGACGUCAAAUCAUCAUGCCCCUUAUGACCUGGGCUACACACGUGCUACAAUGGAGGUACAACGAGUCGCUAACUCGCGAGGGCAAGCUAAUCUCUUAAAGCCGUUCUCAGUUCGGAUUGCAGGCUGCAACUCGCCUGCAUGAAGUCGGAAUCGCUAGUAAUCGCGAAUCAGCAUGUCGCGGUGAAUACGUUCCCGGGCCUUGUACACACCGCCCGUCACACCAUGAGAGUUUGUAACACCCAAAGUCGGUGGGGUAACCUUUUGGAGCCAGCCGCCUAAGGUGGGACAGAUGAUUGGGGUGAAGUCGUAACAAGGUAAC
rnacentral:rRNA from 2 species